rnacentral:rRNA from 1 species
UACGUAGGGGGCUAGCGUUGUCCGGAUUUAUUGGGCGUAAAGAGCGUGUAGGCGGCCAGGUAGGUCUGGUGUGAAAACUCGAGGCUUAACCUCGAGAUGUCAUCGGAAACCAUCUGGCUAGAGUCCGGAAGAGGAGAGUGGAAUUCCUGGUGUAGCGGUGAAAUGCGCAGAUAUCAGGAAGAACACCAAUGGCGUAAGCAGCUCUCUGGGACGGUACUGACGCUGAGACGCGAAAGCGUGGGGAGCGAACAGG